GAGUUUGAUCGUGGCUCAGGACGAACGCUGGCGGCGUGCUUAACACAUGCAAGUCGAGCGACGCUCCCCCUUCGGGGGGAUGACGGAGCGGCGAACGGGUGAGUAACACGUGGGCAACCUGCCCCUAGCUCCGGGAUAACUCCUCGAAAGAGGGGCUAAUACUGGAUAUGACCUCGGAGGGCAUUCUCUGAGGUGGAAAGUUUUUCGGCUAGGGAUGGGCCCGCGGCCUAUCAGCUUGUUGGUGAGGUAAUGGCCCACCAAGGCGACGACGGGUAGCCGGCCUGAGAGGGCGACCGGCCACACUGGGACUGAGACACGGCCCAGACUCCUACGGGAGGCAGCAGUGGGGAAUAUUGCGCAAUGGGCGAAAGCCUGACGCAGCGACGCCGCGUGAGGGAUGAAGGCC
rnacentral:rRNA from 1 species